GGAAGGAUCAUUAUCGAACUUGGAUCCGAAGGGGAAGGACGAGCGAGCGAAGCUUGCAGAAGCAUUAGAGAUCGUCGCUGGCCUUUGGAAACGAAGGCAUGUGCACGUCUCGACCCUCUGCUCGGUCCUCGUUCUCUUUCCUUUCGUAAAUCUUUGACACCCGUGCACCUCUUGUAGAUCCCUGAGAGGGGAUCUAUGUCUUCAUAAACUCUUUGUAUGUCCAGGAAUGUAUCUAAAGCGUCGACCGGCUUGGCUGAACGUCCAGUCGGCGACGGUAAAGAACGUAAUACAACUUUCAGCAACGGAUCUCUUGGCUCUCGCAUCGAUGAAGAACGCAGCGAAUUGCGAUAAGUAAUGUGAAUUGCAGAUUUUCAGUGAAUCAUCGAAUCUUUGAACGCACCUUGCGCUCCUUGGUAUUCCGAGGAGCAUGCCUGUUUGAGUGUCAUUUAACUCUCAACCAUCCCUCGACUGAUUUUUUCGAGGUUUGGCUUGGAUUUUGGGAGCUGCCGGCGACCGGAUCGGGUCCUUGGCUCUCCUCAAAAGCAUUAGCGACGGUGGUGUGACCUCCCCCGUGCAUGAACGGCCUUCGAUGUGAUAAUGAUCGUCGUGGGCUGGAGUGCUAGCGGGCGUCGCGUUCGGCGCUUCUAAUUCUCGUCGAAAGACGAAAUAUAUCGAAACUUUGACCUCAAAUCAGGUAGGACUACCCGCUGAACUUAAGCAUAUCAAUAAGCGGAGGAAAAGAAACUAACAAGGAUUCCCCUAGUAACUGCGAGUGAAGCGGGAUGAGCUCAAAUUUUGAAUCUGGCGGUCUUCUGGCCGUCCGAGUUGUAAUCUAGAGAAGCGUCUUCCGCGCCGGACCGUGUACAAGUCUCCUGGAAGGGAGCGUCGCAGAGGGUGAGAAUCCCGUCUUUGACACGGACUACCGGUGCUAUGUGAUGCGCUCUCGACGAGUCGAGUUGUUUGGGAAUGCAGCUCAAAUCGGGUGGUAAAC
rnacentral:rRNA from 1 species